UCGGGCUUGCGGGCACGCGCGCUCUCUCUGUCUGUCUGACGGCGCGGAGGGUCCGUAUAUUCUGAGACAGGGUCAUUCAGAGAGAGUCCGACAGCUGGAGCUGUGAGUCCGUUUCUCACAAAGCUGAAGCUUCUGUCUAAAAUAAGAUUGGGCCAAAAAACAUCCAGAAGAAAAUGGGGGGAGGAAGUUCAAGUGAGAGAGCGAUGGAACUGGACAGAAGAGCGAUGGAACUGGAUAGAAGAGCGACGGAACUGGAUAGAAGGCAGAUGAAACAGGAGACAAGGGGUCCUAACUGUUGCGGUUGCUGCUUCCUUCAAAUGGUAUCACAGAACAGAGAUGAAUCAACUACCAUGAUCAAUUCACAACAAGUAAAUCGCAAUAAAAAUAUAAAAUAAAGACAGGGAAGGUGUCACGAUCCCACCAGGCUCUCUCUCACUAAUCAGACCGUCACACUCACCAGACUACUGAUCACAAUCAAGUCACCUUUAUUUGUAUAGUGCUUUAUACAAUACUGUCAAUCAUGUUAAACAGGAAAAUAAUUUGUCAAUAAUGCAAGAGGACAAUAACAAAGAAUAAUUUUCCCAGCUAAAGUCAGUUCAUUGAUGAUUCAGUGAUGUCAUCAUCCAGUUCAGCUCGCUUCCAAUAGUGUUUGUGCAAUACUCCAGUUAUCUCAUCCAAGUUGUUCUCCAUCCAUCUCAGUUAUAUUCAAUCCUGCAAGUAAUCCAAGCUGUCUUCUAAGUAUCCCCCAUCUCAGCUUUUUUGUGUGCACGCUUAACCAGAUCUUUAAGACAAAGACUCAAAUUUAUCCAUAAACAUUUAUUCUCACCAUCUUAGAUCUCAAAAUUUGUCAUUUACCUUUUUAUCGAUUGUUUUCCUGCCAAAACAUCUAAUAAACUAACCUGCUUAAUUGA